rnacentral:misc_RNA from 1 species
GCAAGUCUUUGCUGGUAAAAGUCACCAUUUUCAGAAAUGUCAAGUAACUUCUUGUUCCCAUUGCUAUAUAUGUUGGAAAAAUUCAGGAUAGUGUUUUUGUAUUGUGAAAUUAGACUUUUUUUAGUCUUCUAUUGGAAGAUUUAGUGGCAGUAAGCUAGAAACUUAGUAGGCAGUUGUGAUAAUUAAGGGCAAUGACCCUCUUUCUAAACUCUUCUGUAG